GUAAACUUGUCAGUGAGGCAUGCAGUCCCUUGGAAAGUCCCUUCUGAACGUUGUGGAUGGGAGGUGGAGAGCUGAAGUGGUUUCCUACGAAGCUGAAUGUGAUCUUGUGCUAUGCUGUGUUGUAAGGCAGCAGCUGUGGAACAUGGAAGAUGUCUGCUUUCAGGAGGGCCGUGCUUUGGCAAGACAGAGGUGGCCAAGGAGAUCAAGCCAUGGAGAAACUUCCUUCAGUUUUAUGCUUCUGUUGGCUUCUGUAAACUGUGGAUCAGUGCCACUGGUAAAUGGGAUAUGCCAGCAAGGUGGAUGGACAUCCAUUUCAGGAAGGAAGAUGGAAGACACAUCCGGAAACUGUAGGUUUUGCAAUGCUGAAUGUCUUUAAAGCUAGUGUAGGCUGCAGGAGAAUCUCACGCACAA
ensembl:lncRNA